rnacentral:rRNA from 1 species
ACCUGGGGAGUACGUCCGCAAGGAUGAAACUCAAAGGAAUUGACGGGGGCCCGCACAAGCGGUGGAUUAUGUGGUUUAAUUCGAUGAUACGCGAGGACCCUUACCAAGACUUAAAUGGGAAAUGACAGGUUUAGAAAUAGACCCUUCUUCGGACAUUUUUCAAGGUGCUGCAUGGUUGUCGUCAGCUCGUGCCGUGAGGUGUUAGGUUAAGUCCUGCAACGAGCGCAACCCCUGUCACUAGUUGCUAACAUUCAGUUGAGGACUCUAGUGAGACUGCCUACGCAAGUAGAGAGGAAGGUGGGGAUGACGUCAAAUCAUCACGGCCCUUACGUCUUGGGCCACACACGUAAUACAAUGGCCGGUACAGAGGGCAGCUACACAGCGAUGUGAUGCAAAUCUCGAAAGCCGGUCUCAGUUCGGAUUGGAGUCUGCAACUCGACUCUAUGAAGCUGGAAUCGCUAGUAAUCGCGCAUCAGCCAUGGCGCGGUGAAUACGUUCCCGGGCCUUGUACACACCGCCCGUCAAGCCAUGGAAGUUUGGGGUACCUGAAGUCGGUGACCGUAAAAGGAGCUGCCUAGGGUAAAACAAGUAACUAAGGCU